CCAAUAGCGUAUAUUAAAGUUGCUGCAGUUAAAAAGCUCGUAGUUGAAUUUCGGAACCAAUAUGUUGGUUGUGCCUCGGUACGUACUGGCAUUGUUGGUUUCUCCCUUCUGACGAACUAUGAUGUCAUUAAUUUGGUGUCAUGGGGAAUCAGGACUGUUACUUUGAAAAAAUUAGAGUGUUUAAAGCAGGCUCACGCUUG
rnacentral:rRNA from 2 species